rnacentral:rRNA from 1 species
GAUGAACGCUGGCGGCGUGCCUAAUACAUGCAAGUCGAGCGAACAGAUGAGGAGCUUGCUCCUCUGACGUUAGCGGCGGACGGGUGAGUAACACGUGGAUAACCUACCUAUAAGACUGGGAUAACUUCGGGAAACCGGAGCUGAUACAGGAUAAUAUAUUGAACCGCAUGGUUCAAUAGUGAAAGACGGUUUUGCUGUCACUUAUAGAUGGAUCCGCGCCGCAUUAGCUAGUUGGUAAGGUAACGGCUUACCAAGGCAACGAUGCGUAGCCGACCUGAGAGGGUGAUCGGCCACACUGGAACUGAGACACGGUCCAGACUCCUACGGGAGGCAGCAGUAGGGAAUCUUCCGCAAUGGGCGAAAGCCUGACGGAGCAACGCCGCGUGAGUGAUGAAGGUCUUCGGAUCGUAAAACUCUGUUAUUAGGGAAGAACAAAUGUGUAAGUAACUAUGCACGUCUUGACGGUACCUAAUCAGAAAGCCACGGCUAACUACGUG